GCAUAUCAAUAAGCGGAGGAAAAGAAACCAACAGGGAUUGCCUUAGUAACUGCGAGUGAAGCGGCAAGAGCUCAAAUUUGAAAUCUGGCACCUUCGGUGUCCGAGUUGUAAUUUGUAGAAGCAUCUUUUGGAUUGGUCCUUGCAUAUGUUCCUUGGAACAGGACAUCAUAGAGGGUGAGAAUCCCGUUCGUGGUGGGGAAUCCAAUUCUUUGUAAAGUGCUUUCUAAGAGUCGAGUUGUUUGGGAAUGCAGCUCUAAGUGGGUGGUAAAUUCCAUCUAAAGCUAAAUAUUGGCGAGAGACCGAUAGCGAACAAGUACAGUGAUGGAAAGAUGAAAAGAACUCCGAAAGGAGAGUGAAAAAGGACGUGAAAUUGUUGAAAGGGAAGUGCUUGAGAUCAGUCUUAAGGUUUAGUGAUCAGUCUUCCUUUUGGUUGGUGCACUCACUAUUUCUUAGGCCAACAUCAGUUUGGGCGGCAGGAUAAUGACAUUGGAAUGUGGCUCUUUCGGGAGUGUUAUAGCCUUUGUUGAUACUGCCUGCUUGGACUGAGGACUGCGCUUCGGCUAGGAUGUUGGCAUAAUGAUCUUAAGCAGC
rnacentral:rRNA from 1 species